UUUUGAUCACAGAUAUUAUCACGAGAUGGUCUUUUUGGGACAUCACUAUAAGUAUCACAGCUCAUUUCCGUCUCACUAGGUGCCGAUUGCCUACUGGCUCCCGCCUGACUACUGGCCUUCCUUGGCUUGCCUUUUGGCCACCCCUUUUUUUCCUAGGAUUCUUGGCCUCUGCUAAGGCCGUUUCGUCUACAGACUCGAUACUCGUAGAUUUAGCUCUGGCUAAAGAGGUUUUACGUUUGGCACCCCUGGACUCAUCAUCCAUUGCUUCCGGUGGGUGGUGCACUUUAGUUGGCAGUACUAGUCUUAACAGAGACUCAUUUAUGUGAUUCAUCAUUGUGGAGUUUUGAUUUCCUCGCUAACUAUUUUUUUAAUUUCAGGAACAAUAUUCGUUUAACUGUAGGUGGUUGGUGGUGCAGCUACAGUUGAGUAGAGGUUACCUGUAGUAACACCACUAUCAGCUAACCUUCUCGCUUCCGGGUAUGUAACUCUUCGAGUAACUACUGAAUUGUAUACGAAAAGAAGGUUACUUAGGCUUCGAUUUGAGUUAUUGACUGCCUCAAAACCGCCAAAAAUACUUUUUUAUUAUACCUGUGACGUUGAUCCUUGUUUCCUAGCUUUUGAGAACUGGAAUAUUAUCUGAACUCACCUACGCCCUUAAAAAUACACAUCGUUUGAUUCAUUGUGAUAUUCCAAUUGAUGCCAUUAUCACCGCUAUCUUCAGCAAAAAAGUAAAGCAUAAGCUAGUGUAAAUUAAAGAAAACAAGAGUCACGUAAAAUCAGCAUAUAAGGAUUGACCAUUUUUCACUUCAAAUCAAUUGCAUUCAACAGCGAAAAAGGAAAUGAAUAAGCAAAAAUGUUUGCAACAAACAAUAAGAUAAUGCGAAAAUUCGAAACGGCUUAAUCCCCG